rnacentral:rRNA from 1 species
GAUUGAACGCUGGCGGAAUGCUUUACACAUGCAAGUCGAGCGGCAGCACGGGGGUAACCCUGGUGGCGAGCGGCGAACGGGUGAGUAAUACAUCGGAACAUGCCCAGUCGUGGGGGAUAACACUUCGAAAGAAGUGCUAAUACCGCAUACGUCCUGAGGGAGAAAGCGGGGGAUCGCAAGACCUCGCGCGAUUGGAGUGGCCGAUGUCAGAUUAGCUAGUUGGUGGGGUAAAGGCCUACCAAGGCAACGAUCUGUAGCUGGUCUGAGAGGAUGAUCAGCCACACUGGGACUGAGACACGGCCCAGACUCCUACGGGAGGCAGCAGUGGGGAAUUUUGGACAAUGGGGGCAACCCUGAUCCAGCCAUUCCGCGUGAGUGAAGAAGGCCUUCGGGUUGUAAAGCUCUUUCGGCAGGAACGAAACGGUGAGCUCUAACAUAGCUUGCUAAUGACGGUACCUGAAGAAGAAGCACCGGCUAACUACGUG